GACGAACGCUGGCGGCGUGCUUAACACAUGCAAGUCGAACGCUGAAGCUCAGCUUUUGUUGGGUGGAUGAGUGGCGAACGGGUGAGUAACACGUGAGUAACCUGCCCCCUUCUUUGGGAUAACGCCCGGAAACGGGUGCUAAUACUGGAUAUUCACUGGUCUUCGCAUGGGGGUUGGUGGAAAGGGUUUUUCUAGUGGGGGAUGGGCUCGCGGCCUAUCAGCUUGUUGGUGGGGUGAUGGCCUACCAAGGCUUUGACGGGUAGCCGGCCUGAGAGGGUGACCGGUCACAUUGGGACUGAGAUACGGCCCAGACUCCUACGGGAGGCAGCAGUGGGGAAUAUUGCACAAUGGGCGCAAGCCUGAUGCAGCGACGCCGCGUGAGGGAUGGAGGCCUUCGGGUUGUGAACCUCUUUCGCUCAUGGUCAAGCCGCAACAAUGGUUGUGGUGAGGGUAGUGGGUAAAGAAGCGCCGGCUAACUACGUG
rnacentral:rRNA from 1 species